rnacentral:lncRNA from 1 species
GCUAUUUUUAAAUAAAUCAUAUUUAUGAGUGAUUUGUGAAUGUAAUUAUCAUAAAGAAAGAAAAAUGAAAAAAAAAGUUAUUAAAAUGAGCAAAUUUAUUUAUUACUAUAUCAACUAUAAAAAAGAAAAGAAUAAUUUUAAUUAAAAUUCUUAAAUCUCUCAUCUCUCAUUCGAAAUCACUACCCUUCCCCUGAAAAAAUUAAAAUCACUC